rnacentral:rRNA from 1 species
AGUGAACGCUGGCGGUAGGCCUAACACAUGCAAGUCGAACGGCAGCACAGGAGAGCUUGCUCUCUGGGUGGCGAGUGGCGGACGGGUGAGGAAUACAUCGGAAUCUACUCUGUCGUGGGGGAUAACGUAGGGAAACUUACGCUAAUACCGCAUACGACCUACGGGUGAAAGCAGGGGACCUUCGGGCCUUGCGCGAUUGAAUGAGCCGGUGUCGGAUUAGCUAGUUGGCGGGGUAAAGGCCCACCAAGGCGACGAUCCGUAGCUGGUCUGAGAGGAUGAUCAGCCACACUGGAACUGAGACACGGUCCAGACUCCUACGGGAGGCAGCAGUGGGGAAUAUUGGACAAUGGGCGCAAGCCUGAUCCAGCCAUACCGGGUGGGUGAAGAGGGCCUUCGGGUUGUAAAGCCCUUUUGUUGGGAAAGAAAUCCAGCUGGCUAAUACCCGGUUGGGAUGACGGUACCCAAAGAAUAAGCACCGGCUAACUUCGUGCCAGCAGCCGCCGUAA